AUGGUGUUCUGUAUAUUUAGAGUGUAUGUCUGCCCCGUGCAGAAAACCCAGCAAGUAUGCGGCGCCCUCCACCUUGAACUUUAGGGUUCAAGGGUAACGACAUGCAGCGGCAUCUCUGGAGUGUUU
rnacentral:sRNA from 1 species